rnacentral:tRNA from 1 species
GCAGUGGUGGUUCGGUGGUAGAAUUCCUGAUUUCCAUACAGGAGACCCUGGUUUGAGUUCUGGCUGAAGCA